rnacentral:lncRNA from 1 species
CGGUACAUACUUUUUCUUGUCCGUUCCAAACAACAAUAUCCGGUCUGUUAUGCUUACACUUGACAGAUGUUUUGAGGAGAAUGUUCUACCAGUAUUCUUUGUGCUGAUAUUUGUAUCUUGUGAAUAUCUGACUUUUGAUGGUGCAUUGUGUGUUUGGAAAGGAAUUUAUUGUUGCGCGCGAUCAAUCUGAGCCCUUCGUUUAAUACUGUUGGCACAGCUAAAGUGUUUACGGUUAGAUAAAUUGAUUGGAGGCGUUACUUACUGGGACCAGUCCUCUUCAAAAAUAUUAACAGUUUUCAAUUUGGUUAAGAACUGAAUUAGCGACAAAGCUCUGAAAGAUGCUGCGUGUGAAUAAAUUGCUGUCUUAAGAAUAUUAUUUAACUACUACCGUAGUUGAAUGAUUCUUUGAGAAGAGUUAAAAGCAGAAAUUCCUGUCAAUGUAAACUACAACGAUUCUGUUUCUCGUCUCAAAUAUUACAGGACUUUGAUUACAUGAUACACUUGCAUUAAUUAAUACAGGUGACGUAAUUAAACUAAUUACAAAUUA